rnacentral:rRNA from 1 species
UACGAAGGGUGCAAACGUUGCUCGGAAUUAUUGGGCGUAAAGCGCACGUAGGCGGCUUAGCAAGUCGGAAGUGAAAUCCCUCGGCUCAACCAAGGAAGUGCUUUCGAAACUGCUGAGCUUGAGUACUUAAGAGGAUCGCGGAAUUCCCGGUGUAGAGGUGAAAUUCGUAGAUAUCGGGAGGAACACCAGUGGCGAAGGCGGCGAUCUGGGGAAGAUACUGACGCUGAGGUGCGAAAGCGUGGGGAGCAAACAGG